rnacentral:misc_RNA from 1 species
GAUGAAGAACGUAGCGAAAUGCGAUAAGUAAUGUGAAUUGCAGAAUUCAGUGAAUCAUCGAGUCUUUGAACGCACAUUGCGCCCCCUGGUAUUCCGGGGGGCAUGCCUGUCCGAGCGUCAUUGCUGCCCUCAAGCACGGCUUGUGUGUUGGGCCCCCGUCCCCGGUUUCCCCCGGGGACGGGCCCGAAAGGCAGCGGCGGCACCGCGUCCGGUCCUCGAGCGUAUGGGGCUUUGUCACCCGCUCUGUAGGCCCGGCAGGCGCCAGCCGACACCCAACUUUAUUUCUAAGGUUGACCUCGGAUCAGGUAGGGAUACCCGCUGAACUUAAGCAUAUCAAUAAGCGGAGGA